rnacentral:rRNA from 1 species
AAUAUUGCACAAUGGGCGCAAGCCUGAUGCAGCGACGCCGCGUGGAGGAUGAAGGCCUUCGGGUCGUAAACUCCUGUCUGGGGGGAUGAAAACUGACAGUACCCCCGGAGGAAGCCCCGGCUAACUACGUGCCAGCAGCCGCGGUAAUACGUAGGGGGCGAGCGUUGUCCGGAAUUAUUGGGCGUAAAGGGUUCGUAGGCGGUCUUUUAAGUCAGAUGUGAAAGGUCACGGCUCAACCGUGGUAAGCAUUUGAAACUGAAAGACUUGAGUUAAGGAGAGGAAAGUGGAAUUCCUAGUGCAGCGGUGAAAUGCGUAGAUAUUAGGAGGAAUACCAGUGGCGAAGGCGACUUUCUGGACUUAUACUGACGCUGAGGAACGAAAGCGUGGGGAGCAAAC